AACGAACGCUGGCGGCAGGCCUAACACAUGCAAGUCGAGCGAGGACUUCGGUCCUAGCGGCGGACGGGUGAGUAACGCGUGGGAACGUGCCCUUUGCUACGGAAUAGCCCCGGGAAACUGGGAGUAAUACCGUAUGUGCCCGAGAGGGGAAAGAUUUAUCGGCAAAGGAUCGGCCCGCGUUGGAUUAGGUAGUUGGUGGGGUAAUGGCCUACCACGCCGACGAUCCAUAGCUGGUUUGAGAGGAUGAUCAGCCACACUGGGACUGAGACACGGCCCAGACUCCUACGGGAGGCAGCAGUGGGGAAUCUUAGACAAUGGGCGCAAGCCUGAUCUAGCCAUGCCGCGUGAGCGAUGAAGGCCUUAGGGUUGUAAAGCUCUUUCAGUGGGGAAGAUAAUGACGGUACCCACAGAAGAAGCCCCGGCUAACUCCGUGCCAGCCGCCGCCGUAACAC
rnacentral:rRNA from 1 species